GACGAACGCUGGCGGCGUGCCUCAUACAUGCAAGUCGGGCGGAUGUAGCAAUACAUCAGCGGCGGACGGGUGAGUAACACGUGGGCAACCUGGCCUUAAGAGGGGGAUAACGUCCCGAAAGGGACGCUAAUACCGCGUAAAUCAACGAGAUCGCAUGAUUUUGUUGGAAAAGGAGUAAUCCGCUUAAGGAUGGGCCCGCGGCCUAUUAGCUAGUUGGUAGGGUAACGGCCUACCAAGGCGACGAUAGGUAGCCGACCUGAGAGGGUGAACGGCCACACUGGAACUGAGAAACGGUCCAGACUCCUACGGGAGGCAGCAGUAGGGAAUAUUCCGCAAUGGGCGAAAGCCUGACGGAGCAACGCCGCGUGAGUGAAGAAGGUUUUCGGAUCGUAAAGCUCUGUCAACAGGGACGAAACAAGACGGUACCUGAGAAGGAAGCCACGGCAAACUACGUG
rnacentral:rRNA from 1 species